rnacentral:lncRNA from 1 species
UAAAUUUCUUUGUACAUAUAUUUUCCUGGAUGUCUUGACUGAAAGGUGGAAGCAAAUCCUCCAAUUCUCCAAAACUUCCAAGCUGCAAAUUUUGCCAUGUAUCAAAAGUCCCAAAUACACUAGAAACUGGGAAGUGCUUCGUAAUAACUUACCAUAUGCUAAAUGUUUUCUUAAAAUAACAAAUAAAAUCAAAUGAUUUUCGCGCAAUGUGAAAAUUCAAAGUCACGCUUAAUGAAAAAGAUGCAGCAAUAGGUUGCAUGCACACAUAAUUAGAAAAAAUUUACGCUAGGUGUCCAUGUACACAUGUGACAAAUGAUAGCCUGAUGCAAACAUCCAUCUUAAGGAGAUGCAGUAAUCUCUUAGAACUUCACAAUCAUACAUGCAGCAGAGCAGUAACAGAAUGUCACGAAGCCAUAACAGCCUAACAGCUCUAAGCUAAUUGAUGCUAAGGAAGCACAUCCGAUUGGCAUAACACGAGGAAGAAGUAGCUAUGGAUUUUGCCAAUGUUGGGGAAUAUCUCGGAGCAUGUCACCAGAACACAGAUCCCUGUGGCUGCGGAACUCCAUGAAAACUAGAGAACUAUACCAUUCAUUUACACUGUAUGCAGAGCACUACUAUAGACAACCAAUUUAACAAGUACACAAGGUAACUACAGGGUUGGGAUUGCCAAUAAGGGGCAUUUAAAUUUUGAAGACUUAGAUAAAUGAUAUCUGACACGAAAACUUAUAUAAAGGCAGCUUAACUUGAGCUAUGAGCGCGCACACACAAGCUCAACUCCUUUUAGCUGAAGAGAACAUUACAAAUUCAAUUUGUCAUUGUUCUACUCAUAAUAAUGAGAUUUUCUCUUUAACUUACCAACUGGAAAGAAGUUUCUGGUAGUGUAAAUUUCUUGGUACAUAUAUAUUCCUGGAUGUCUUGACUUAAAGGUGGAAGCAAAUCCUUCUCCAAUUCUCCGGAGCUUCCAACCUGCAAAUUUUGCCAUGUAUCAAAAGUCCCAAAUACCAACAAUCUAGUUCCAGGUCAUAUUCCAUGCUCUAUCCCAAUGAAUCCAACACUGCUGUUCUACCAACAGAGCAAUCAAAAGUAACAAGGCAGCAAUACCGAAUUAGGUAACGGGAGGCUACAAAUAACUACCCACUGCUGC